UUAAAGUUGUUGCAGUUAAAAAGCUCGUAGUUGAACCUUGGGCCUGGUUGGCCGGUCCGCCUCACCGCGUGCACUGGUCCGACCGGGUCUUUCCUUCUGGGGAGCCGCAUGCCCUUCACUGGGUGUGUCGGGGAACCAGGACUUUUACUUUGAAAAAAUUAGAGUGUUCAAAGCAGGCCUAUGCUCGAAUACAUUAGCAUGGAA
rnacentral:rRNA from 1 species